rnacentral:lncRNA from 1 species
CACAGCUAGGGAGUAUCUAAGGUUUGAUUUAAACCCAGAACCUACCACUUCUGAACCUGGCUCUCAGUAUUUGUAUCUUUUCAAAAGAGAGACCGUGAAAUAUACUGCUGUGUACUGUGGGUGUGUUUACUUCAGAUUUUUUUAGCAGCUUUCUCCCCUUAUAGUUGGAGAUGUUCUGCUGCUCUUCAUUCCCUUUGGCACACUUUCUUCUUUCUGCUAGUAGCUAUGGAAACACAGAUGUCCCUGGUUUGGGUAGACCUCAGCAACAUCCACACCAUGGAUCCCAAAUCAAUUUGGAUAGUCGGGAAGGGACCAGUGUCUGGGCUAGGGAUAAUGUUUCAGAUGGUAAAACUGAAGCACAGAGUGGUAAUUGACUUCACUCAGAAUCAAGAAGUGAUGUGGGGCUCCCUCAAGUCUCCAUCUCCACAUGGAAGUCCUGGUGGCAUCUUCAGCCAGAGGUUCAUCAACUUAAGCCUCUUCCUUCAGCUCCAGUCACUCAACCAGCAAAUCUCUCCAGAGCAGAAAGCUCCAGUUCAGAAUGAUUCCUGGAAAAGCACAUCCUGUGAUCAACUUGGAAAGAAUUCAAUCUUUCUACAGUUUCCAGUUCAUGAAAUGGCUGCAUUCAAUGAUGUGGAACUCCUGUUUUCUGCAAAAAAGCUGUGGGUGGGGAGCAUUUGAAAGUACAAGCCUAGUGUUUAAACCCUGUUGGGAGAAUGGGGAGAACAUUUGAUUAGCCAGGUCAACCCUUCGGGGACUUACUCUUGG